rnacentral:misc_RNA from 1 species
GUCUCUGUAUUCAUCUCAAGAUUAUAUUUAUCUACUUUUCAUAUUUUAUUCUUCACUCGCUGAGUUAUUAUAGCUUCUUCUGAUAUUGAAUGUAUCUCACAUACGAAACGGAGACUCUAACCUACUUCUCUGGCCCCAGCAUAAUUUCUUGCCUCCCAAUGUUCUUUUUGUUGAUUCUCAUUCACUUAUUUCUUGAUGUUGUAUUAGUUGCAAUAGUCAUUUAAAUGGUGGUGCAGCAAAUGUAGUUCUUAUUCUCACUGCUCU